rnacentral:rRNA from 1 species
AAUAUUGGUCAAUGGAGGCAACUCUGAACCAGCCACGUCGCGUGAAGGAUGACGGCCCUACGGUUGGUAAACUUCUUUUAUACAGGAAUAAAGUGAGUCACGUGUUACUUUUUGUAUGUACUGUAUGAAUAAGGAUCGGCUAACUCCGUGCCAUAAGCGGCGGUAAUACGGAGGAUCCAAGCGUUACCCGGAUUUAUUGGGUUUAACGGCUGCGCAGGCGGAAGAUUAAGUCGGCGGUGAAAUUUUGCAGCUCAAAUGUAAAAGUGCCAUCGAUACUGGUUUUCUUGAGUGUGGAUGAAGUAGGCGGAAUUUGUGGUGUAGCGGUGAAAUGCAUAGAUAUCACGAGGAACUCCGAUUGCGCAGGCGGCUUACUAGGCCAUAACUGACGCUCAGGCACGAAGGCGUGGGGAUCAAACA